rnacentral:rRNA from 1 species
CCGAGGGGGUAGUAGGUGAGUGAUGGGGUGACGCAGGAAGGUAGUCCAGCCCGGGCGGUGGUUGUCCCGGGGUAAGGGUGUGGCCCGAGUGGUAGGUAAAUCCGCCGCUCAUGUAAGGGUGAGGCCUGAUGCGGAGCCGAUUGUGGUGAAGUGGAUGAUCCUAUGCUGUCGAGAAAAGCCUCUAGCGAUGUUUCAUGGUGGCCCGUACCCGAAACCGACUCAGGUGGUCAGGUAGAGUAUACCGAGGCGUUCGGGUGAACUAUGGUUAAGGAACUCGGCAAAUUGCCCCCGUAACUUCGGGAGAAGGGGGGCCGCUUCUGGUGAUGGCACGUUGCUGCCGGAGCUGGGGGUGGCCGCAGAGACCAGCGAGAAGCGACUGUUUACUAAAAACACAGGUCCGUGCGAAGCUGUAAGGCGAUGUAUACGGACUGACGCCUGCCCGGUGCUGGAACGUUAAGGGGACCGGUUAGCUGUGAGGCGAAGCUGGGAACUUAAGCGCCAGUAAACGGCGGUGGUAACUAUAACCAUCCUAAGGUAGCGAAAUUCCUUGUCGGGUAAGUUCCGACCUGCACGAAUGGCGUAACGACUUCUCGGCUGUCUCAACCAUAGGCCCGGUGAAAUUGCAGUACGAGUAAAGAUGCUCGUUUCGCGCAGCAGGACGGAAAGACCCCGGGACCUUUACUACAGCUUGAUAUUGGUGUUUGGUUCGGUUUGUGUAGGAUAGGUGGGAGACUGUGAAGCUCGGGCGCUAGCUUGGGUGGAGUCGUUGUUGAAAUACCACUCUGGUCGUGCUGGAUGUCUAACCUGGGUCCGUGAUCCGGAUCGGGGACAGUGUCUGGUGGGUAGUUUAACUGGGGCGGUUGCCUCCUAAAGGGUAACGGAGGCGCCCAAAGGUUCCCUCAGCCUGGUUGGUUAUCAGGUGGUGAGUGUAAGUGCACAAGGGAGCUUGACUGUGAGACUGGCGGGUCGAGCAGGUGCGAAAGCAGGGACUAGUGAUCCGGCGGUGGCUUGUGGGAGCGCCGUCGCUCAUCGGAUAAAAGGUACCCCGGGGAUAACAGGCUGAUCUUCCCCAAGAGUCCGUAUCGACGGGAUGGUUUGGCACCUCGAUGUCGGCUCGUCGCAUCCUGGGGCUGGAGUUGGUCCCAAGGGUUGGGCUGUUCGCCCAUUAAAGCGGUACGCGAGCUGGGUUUAGAACGUCGUGAGACAGUUCGGUCCCUAUCCGCUGCGCGCGUUGGAGUCUUGAGAAGGGCUGUCCCUAGUACGAGAGGACCGGGACGGACGGACCUCUGGUGUGCCAGUUGUUCUGCCAAGGGCAUGGCUGGUUGGCUACGUUCGGGAGGGAUAACCGCUGAAAGCAUCUAAGCGGGAAGCCUGCUUCGAGAUGAGGGCUCCCACCCACGUGAUGGGGUAAGGCUCCCGGUAGACGACCGGGUUGAUAGGCCGGAGAUGGAAGCCUUGUGAGGGGUGGAGUUGACCGGUACUAAUAGGCCGAGGGCUUGUCCGCAGAUG